rnacentral:rRNA from 1 species
CAACGUGGGUGACCUGCCCUCGAGUGGGGAAUAACGCUGCGAAAGCAGCGCUAAUACCGCAUAUUCUCAGUUCUUCAGCGGGCUGAGCAAAGCUAUAUGCGCUUGAGGAGGGGCCUGCGGCGGAUUAGCUAGUCGGUGGGGUAACGGCCUACCGAGGCGCCGAUCGGUAGCUGGUCUGAGAGGAUGACCAGCCAGACUGGGACUGGGACACGGCCCAG